AACACUGUCUUUCUUUCUCUGUUAAAUGAAGGCGGCGGGGCGAUCUUCACGAUGGAUUCAGUUGACAGCCGGAUCCGUCCCACACACAACAGCAGCUGUUCGACAUAAAACCAAAGGUCAGCAAAGCUCGGGCACUGGACGUGUGCAUGCAGAACCGUCUCGUCGCUUCACUCACGAAA